AACGUAGGGGACAAGCGUUAUCCGGAUUUACUGGGUAAAGCGCCCGUAGGCGGCUUGAUAAGUUGGACGUGAAAGCUCCCGGCUUAACUGGGAGAGGCCGUUCAAAACUGCCAAGCUAGAGUGAGGAAGAGGAGAGCAGAAUUCCCGGUGUAGUGGUGGAAUGCGUAGAGAUCGGGAGGAAUACCAGUGGCGAAAGCGGCUCUCUGGUCCUAAACUGACGCUGAGGGGCGAAAGCGUGGGGAGCGAACGGG
rnacentral:rRNA from 1 species